rnacentral:piRNA from 1 species
AAACUGUGAACGCCACAUCAGCACUGGC